rnacentral:misc_RNA from 1 species
UCCUAGCCCCGAUUGCAGCAUUUGUUUGAGCUCAUUUUCGUUUGUUUCGGCUCGGCGGCUUCGCCGCUGAGCCGAAACAAACGAAAAUAGCGAGUGCGGAAAGCGGGAUUAAGC